UACGAAGGGGGCGAGCGUUGUUCGGAGUUACUGGGCGUAAAGGGCGCGUAGGCGGCGCUCCAAGUUAGGCGUGAAAGCCCCGGGCUCAACCUGGGAAUAGCGCUUAAGACUGGAGUGCUCGAGUGCGGAAGAGGUGAGUGGAAUUCCCAGUGUAGAGGUGAAAUGCGUAGAUAUUGGGAAGAACACCAGUGGCGAAGGCGGCUCACUGGUCCGCAACUGACGCUGAGGCGCGAAAGCGUGGGGAGCAAACAGG
rnacentral:rRNA from 1 species